AACAGUGAGAGAGAGGUAACUGUUAAGUGGCUCUUACCUGAGUCGGGAACUCUCCAGUCGACCGGGCUGCUCCGUCCGAGACGGAACCUCCCCCAACCCCGUCGUACCGUGAACUACAUAUUUUUUUUUCUUUUUUUUUUUCCAAAGUUUUGUUACCCCAAGUGUCUAACUCGUUCCCUCUCGUGUUUGUCUAUUGGCGAAUUACAAAAGACCGUGCACCGAUUUGAUUUCACGCGAUUUUGUUUGUUUGUUUUGUUUUCAAACGCGGAUCUUGGCCAGGGGGAAAUAAAGUUGAACCCUGGUGAAUAAUAAUUUUUAAAAGAAUCACGUGUUAUUCUUCUAUUUGGUUGCAGACUAUUUUUGUUACCUGCGCCGGUAGUUUGUGUCGUUGACUACCGAGUUUCACUCAGUGCCGUGCCAGUACCACAAAGACUGUAAAUCGCAAUCUAUUUGAUUCUUCCCUUUUUUUCUUUUUUUUUUUUUGUGUGUGUUGGGGUCGUAAUCGAAAAAAAGAAAAAAAAAUCCCGAGGCUACGACGACGAUCGACGCCGGCGACCGGGCCCCCCUUCUUCUUUUUUGUUGUUGUUGUUGUGACUGUCGUCUCAAUAAAAUAAAAAAAAAAAGAAGAAGAAAAUUGAGAGAAAGACCAAACUACAAAAAGACUAUAAUAAAUAAGAAAAAAAAGAAAAGAAAUAAUAAUAAGAGAAGAAACAAAAGCGAAGAAGAAGAAAAAAAAAAAUUUUUAAUAAAACGGACGACACGGAGAAAGGGAUUCAGCUGCGGAAGUUUGUUUCUAUUACCGAUGCAGGAUAUCAUUCAAAUGUGCAGCAGCUUUGAUGCCAGCAAGUCGACCAAGGGGGCCAGCAAGCUGCGGCGUGACCUGAUCAACACAGAGAUAGGCCACCUGCGUGACCUGCUUCCCUUGCCGGCCUCAACACGUCAACGUCUCUCUCAGCUACAGCUGAUGGCCUUAGUAUGUGUCUACGUCAGGAAGGCUAACUACUUCCAGCAAGUUUUCAAACGACACGACCUCGGCCAAAUGCCCACGCCCAGCAUCGGCUUCUCCAAGGCGAUGAACGGUUUCCUCAUGAUGAUGACACAAAACGGCAAGCUCCUCUACAUAUCCGACAACGCCGCCGAAUACCUCGGACACUCUAUGGAGGAUUUGCUGAUUCACGGCGACAGCGUGUACGAUAUCAUCGACAAGCAAGACCAUCAGAAUGUGCAAAACGAACUGGGACGACCGCCGGCCAGCGUGGCUGGACCUCACGCCGUUGUUACGCCCGCCGACGACGGCCGCAUUUUCCUAUGCCGCAUGAAUGUAUCGCGCAACGCUCGUAGGCAAAUGCGCUUCGGUGAUCAAAAGGUGAUCCUUGUCGAGGGCCACUUUGUGUCCUACCUGCCGCUGUGCACGCGCAACGAACCGGUGCUGAUCGCCACUUGCACGCCGGUCGCCAUGCCGGAGACCCGCGAGUGCGUCGUCCAGGGAGCCACCAACAUUUUUACAUCGGUUCAUAAUAUGGACAUGAAAUUCGCUUCCAUCGAUGCCAGUGGCGAAUUCUACCUGGGCUAUUCACGGCAAGAGCUGCUCGACGUGUCGUGGUACCAGCUCCUUCACUGGGAUUUCAUGAGAGAAGCCCAAUCCAAGCACAGAUUAAUCACCCAAUCGGAGCAAGAUCGAUCCUGCAUUCUGCUCGUGCGACUGCAGCGACGCAAUGGCACCUGGCUAUGGAUUCAUUGCGUUUUACAGGUUAAGGACGCAACCGAAGCUGGCCAACAACCCGUCAUUAUCUGUACGAAUCAGGUUCUCAGUGAAAGAGAAGCCCAGGUGAUGCGAGCCAACAGCUGGCUUUAUCAUUUCUAUCUGGUGCAGACGAAACUACAGUACGGCAUGAAUUAUGAGGGCCAGCCAGCGGCGCAGCAACAAGCCAGUACGUCCCGUUCGUCAGCUUCUGCCUCUUCGCCUGGCGGCGGUUAUGGGUACUCGCAUUUGAUGAAUAAUCCGAGUCCCGUGCCGUCGUCUUGCAGCGCGUCCGGUGACACGUCCAACACUCCACAGCCGGUCCAUUUUCAGCAGCAACAACAACAACAACAACAGGCACAGCAUCUCGUUCCUCCGCCCCUAACGUCCCCCCUGUACGUCCCCCCGCCACCUCCACACCACCACCACCACCACGCGCACAAUCAUUUGUACUCGUCGCCCGUGAUGGAUACAUAUCAGCAUUUUGCUUUGCAUCCGCAACAGCAGCAGCAACAGCAACAGCAUCAGCACCAUCAACAUCAACAUCAUCAUCAUCAUCAUCAACAACAGCAGCAACAGCAGCAGCAACAGCAUCACAUCCACCCGCAAAGCGGAUCUUCCAAUACGACAUCUGGCAAUGCGAGUAAUCCGCAUUUCGCCUUCGCUCCGUCGCCGAAUGCUGGACACCAUCAAACUUAUUCGGCCGUUGGAGGACCUUUCGCUCUCGGUCCGCAAGAGCCCAGCCCGUAUCAUUCCGGUCACCACCAACUGCAGCACAACAUCAAAACGGAAGCGUAUCUAUCGGAUAUCGGUGACCGGCCGGAAUUGGGAGGCUAUCACAUCAAAAUGGAAGCGAAAUCGGACGAAUUCCAGCAGGCGUCUGCGAUGGAUUCGACGGCAAUGGGAUCUGGCGUGUACGGAUCCAGCGCUGUCAAAGAGGAACCCGUAGUUAUCGAAUCGCCGGAAGAUCCGAUGAGCCCAGCGUCAUCGCCGCCGCGCAAACGGUACAGACUGAUGGCCGCCACCUUGCCCAGUUCCACUCCGCCGUCGGCGUUCCCUCCCAACGGAAGCGGAAGCGUCGGGGAGAAUCAACAGUUGCACCAGCAAACGCAUCCGCAACAGCAUCAACACCAGCAGAACGAUUGGCAUCGAAACCACCGCAACGAUCAUCAUCCGCAUUCCGGUUACGGCCAAUCGGUCUGGCCCAACGCCGGAUGGAUCAACACGAGUUAUCCGGUCGGAUUGGCCCAGCUGGAAGAGGCGGGCUACGAUAGCCCCGACAUGGCCUACGAUCGCGAUAGUUCCUUCUCGCCAUUGAUCGGAAUAUCCAUCGGAAGGGCAUCGUCUCCCUUAUCGGCCUCCUCGCCAUCCAACCACGCCCAGCAGCAGAGAAGAUUGUUGCUGCGCCGCAAGCAACACCAGCCGGCCUCCGCCAUGGAUUCGUCCGAUUGUUUACCGCACGGCCGCUACCAUGCGGCCGAGACGAUUCAACGCGUGUCGGAUGUCUCCAUCACGAUGCCUCCGGAAUUGUCGCCUCUGGGUUACGUCCUGACACCGGCGCCUACGCCGCCAGACGCCGAAGAAGCGCCUUCCGUUUCCUACCCCCAGAGCGGCAGCAUCGUUGAGAUGGAGCAGCGGGUGCCGGCCUCGUUGUCGUCGGAUCCGGAGGGGGCCCACAGCAGCAUGAGUUUCAUCAACGCGGCCAUUUUGAGUGGUCAGAACGACUUGGUUGAGAACCAAGCCAUCCUGCUCGUUCCGGCCAAUCGCCAUUAUGUGUAUCAUGCGGCCUCGUCCAGUGCGGCGUCUGGGGCGUCGGCAGCGUCGGCCGCGCCACCCGUCGAAACGGCGUGUGAUCCCACUCAUCCUACACCGUCGGCCGAUUACCAUACGCCGGCCACGCCUACCAGUAUGGAUUAUCCUAAGCCUUAAUUUGAGCGCGCUCAACGCGCGUUAAACGUCCAGCACGUUGUCGACUUUGCCUUGCAAUUAAAAAGAUCCUGAAACGAUACUCGCCGCCUGUUUGCAUGACGCAAUCAUCGACAUUCCUUCAUCUUUUCCUAAUCCAAAUUUAAGUAUGCAAAUGAUUUAAAAAAAAAAAUUAAUAAUAAUAAUAAUAUGAUGUUUGAAUAAUCUAUUAAAGAAAACAAACUCCCCGGUGAUGGUAUUUUGUUGCCAAUCUUGCUUUAUACGAUGAAAACCAAAUGGGAUUUCUAAUUAAUCUGCCAUUAUGAAUUUAUGUUCAUGUUCGUCUCAAUCUAUCUCCAUCGCUGUUAGUGCAAUAGUGUUAAUUCUCCAAUGCUGUAGCGGAUAGGAUUUUUUAAAAACAACAACAACAACAACAACAAAAAAAACAUCUUCGCAUAGCCACCUCUCCAAAAAGAAAAAAGAAAACAAAUCCCAUCACGUCUUCCUUCCGUACGUAAAUCAUGACAGCGAUCUCUUGAUGAAGGCGCCACCCCAUUUUUAUAGCCGUAACGGGGGAGAAAAAAUAAUAAGAAAUAGAAAAAAAAAAAAACUAGCCUCUACUCGAGCGGUUGUGGCCUUAUUCGACUGUAAAAGAUGUGAAGUGAAUCAUCUUUCAUCUCCACUUUGCCACUUUCUUUUUUUUUUUUGUUUGUUUGUCUUAUUUCCUCUUUUCGCAAAUUUAUCACACUUUUCCGUCCCUCCCGAAAAAAAAAACGGGGCCUCAAAUAUUUUUCAAUGAUUGCUAUGUAGCCCAUAUAUUAUCAGAGAUACAAAUAAAAAUAAAAACUAUGAUUUAAAACGA
rnacentral:misc_RNA from 1 species